rnacentral:sRNA from 1 species
AUUGUUUGUGUGGACUGAGUGUUUUGGCCAUCCCGGCCCACUCUCACAGCCUCCGUUAAGUGACGUGAACUCUCAGGAGGACUGAGCCAGAAGCGGACAGGGCAAGACGAGCUGUGCUUGAAGGAAAAGGGGCAGAAAAUCGAGGGUCAGGGACUGAGAAGCUACUCCGGUUUAGAAACUCCGGUGACACCCGUGUAGAUGGGUACAUCACGGCUUCUCUCCCACGUUAACACUUAAUAAAGGAACCUACCUUUGAUCAGCAAGGAAGGACUGGGGUGGCAAAGGCUUAUGCCCCCAUUUUACAGCCUGAUCUUUGACCAGAUGGCAGUAACAUUUGAAGAUGUGACUAUUAUUUUUACUUGGGAGGAGUGGAAAUUCCUGGAUUCUUCUCAAAAAAGACUCUACAGGGAGGUCAUGUGGGAGAACUACACAAAUGUCAUGUCAGUAGAAAACUGGAAUGAGAGCUACAAAUCCCAAGAAGAAAAAUUCAGAUACUUAGAAUAUGAAAAUUUUUCCUGCUGGCAAGGCUGGUGGAAUGCUGGCGCCCAGAUGUAUA